CCUACGGGAGGCAGCAGUGGGGGAUAUUGCACAAUGGGGGAAAGCCUGAUGCAGCGACGCCGCGUGGGGGAAGGAGGGCUUCGGAAUGUAAAGCGCUAUCGGCAGGGAAGAAGCAAGACGGUACCUGACUAAGAAGCCCCGGCUAACUACGUGCCAGCAGCCGCGGUAAUACGUAGGGGGCGAGCGUUGUCCGGAUUCACUGGGUCUAAAGGGAGCGGAGACGGGUAUGCAAGCCAGGGUGGAAAGCCCGGGGCCCAACCCCGGGACUGCCUUUGGAACUGCAUGGCUGGAGUGCGGGAGGGGCAGGCGGAAUUCCUGGUGUAGCGGUGAAAUGCGUAGAUAUCAGGAGGAACACCGGCGGCGAAGGCGGCCUGCUGGACCGCGACUGACGUUGAGGCUCGAAAGCGUGGGGAGCGAACAGGAUUAGAUACCCGAGUAGUC
rnacentral:rRNA from 1 species